UGAGUAACGCGUGAGCAACUACCUAUCAUGGGGGAUAACGCUGGAAACAGACGCUAAUACCGCAUAUCGUACAUAAUUCGCAUGAAUAAGUGUAUGAAAGGAGUAAUUUGCUGGUAGAUGGGCUCGCGUCCGAUUAGCCGGUUGGUGGGUAACGGCCUACCAAAGCAACGAUCAGUAGCCGGACUGAGAGGUUGAACGGCCACAUUGGGACUGAGACACGGCCCAGACUCCUACGGGAGGCAGCAGUGGGGGAUAUUGCGCAAUGGAGGAAACUCUGACGCAAGGCAACGCCGCGUGAAGGAUGAAGGUUUUCGGAUUGUAGACUUCUGUUCUUGGUGAAGAAAAAUGACGGUAGCCAAGCAGCAAGCUCCGGCCAACUACGUGCCAGCCGCCGC
rnacentral:rRNA from 1 species